rnacentral:rRNA from 1 species
UCUAACUACGUGGCAGGAGGCGGGGUAAUACGGUGGUGGCAAGCGUUGUCUGGAUUUAGUGGGCGUAAAGGGAGCGCAGGUGGUUUCGUAAGGCUGAUGUGAAAGCCCACGGCUUAACCGUGGAGGGUCAUUGGAAACUGGGAAACUUGAGUACAGAAGAGGAAUGUGGAACUCCAUGUGUAGCGGUGGAAUGCGUAGAUAUAUGGAAGAACACCAGUGGCGAAGGCGACAUUCUGGUCUGUUACUGACACUGAGGCUCGAAAGCGUGGGGAGCAAACAGGAUUAGAUACCCUGGUAGUC